GGAGCUGUAGCUCAGUGGCAGAGCACUUGCCUAGCAUGCGUGAGGCACUGGGUUCGAUCCUUAGCACCA
rfam:Ictidomys tridecemlineatus contig061978, whole genome shotgun sequence.